ACAGACAGAAAGAGAGAGAAUAUUUUACUUUCAUACGUUCACACACAUCCAUACAUCCUUCUGGAAUCUAACAUCUCCUCUUUCUCUCUCUAUAUCUCCUGCGUUCAGUAUUCGAUCAAACGGUUGGUGGUUCUCCCCCAGGUUCUUUUUAUUUCUUGUUUGUACUUGUUCAGUUUUCAACUGUAUUUGUUAAUUUGGGUUGAUUUAGAGCGGUGAUUUGUGUGGAAUUUGGGGGAGAGAGGGGGGUGUUUGUGGUGUGGACCAUUGGAAAUUUCUUUCUUCUUGAGGCGUUUUCUUUUGUUUUUGGUGUUUUAGAUUGGUAUGGUUGAUGGGUUGUGUUUGGUUUGAAUUGAAUUCAAUGUUUCUUGUGUUGGCGGCGCUGCUCUGAUAAAUUGUGCUGUCGGAAGGCUGCUUUGUGGUUUUCCCAUUUGUAGUUCUUGAGAAUAUUCUGGGGUUACGCAGUUUUUCCAAAUGAGAUGGGGAUUUUCACCUAAUUUUUAGGUUCUAUAGAAUAAUUGGUGGGAAUCCAUUUGUAGAAUUUAAAUUGUUGUUCUGAAUUUCCAGGUGGGUAGCUUUCACUGGUGUGAAUUCGGGCAAGUUUGCUUGUUUUUGUGAGUCAAUUUCACAAGAACUGAAAAGGGGUUGUGGGAUAGGCGUGGUAAGAUUUUUGGAGUUAGGGUUCAGGCUGCUAUUGUUCACUUGUUGAUAAGAUGGUGGAUUCAAUUGCUGCAACAUCUCUGCUAGGGCAUCGACCCCUAUGCGGAGGAUUGGGAUUAUCUUGUAAGGACAUCUCAUACAAACGCAAACUAUCUGAUGUUUGUCGGUUUCCAUUGAUGGAAUUUCUUGGUAGAAGGAUUAGUGCUUCUCCUUAUUUGCCUAGGAGGAGAGGAGGUGAUCGGUUAGGGGCUUUGUCUAUUAAGGCUCUUGCAAUGGAGUUGACCAAAGAGGCGCAUUCCUAUAAAGAAGAGAGAAUUCCCAGGAAUUUGAGAUACCGAAUUGAUACGGGAAUUGAUAGAAAACCUGGCUUAUGGCCACCUGAGAACAAGGCGGAUAGCUCUUCCCUACAUAAUCCCUUGCUUAGGCAAGAAAGAAUGGGUUGUGGAUGGUUAGGUGCUAUAUUUGAAUGGGAAGGAGUCAUAAUUGAAGAUAAUCCUGAUCUCGAGAACCAAGCCUGGUUAGCACUUUCUCAAGAAGAGGGAAAAUCCCCUCCCCCAGCUUUCAUUCUUAGGAGAAUAGAAGGGAUGAAGAACGAGCAAGCCAUUUCUGAAGUUCUUUGCUGGUCCAGAGACCCAGCUCAGUUGAGAAGAUUGGCUUCUAGAAAAGAAGAUAUUUACCAAGCUCUGCAAGGUGGGAUGUAUAGAUUACGCACUGGAUCUCAGGAAUUUGUGAAUGUUCUUAUGAAUUACAAGAUACCAAUGGCACUGGUUUCAACUCGACCUAGAAAAACUCUUGAGACUGCAAUUGGAACCAUUGGAAUAGAGAGUUACUUCAGUGUGAUCGUAGCAGCGGAGGAUGUUUACAGGGGGAAGCCUGAUCCUGAGAUGUUUGUGUAUGCAGCGCAGCUGCUAAACUUUAUACCUGAAAGGUGUAUUGUGUUUGGGAACUCAAAUCUAACUGUGGAGGCUGCUCAUGAUGCCCGGAUGAAGUGUGUGGCUGUUGCCAGCAAGCAUCCUGUUUAUGAGCUUGGGGCUGCGGACUUGGUAGUGAGGCACCUGGAUGAGCUUUCGGUCGUGGACUUAAAGAACCUUGCUGACAUUGAAUCAACUGAAUUUGGGCCUGGAGAGCCAGAAACGGAGAUGGAGCGGGAGGAGGAUUCAUAGUUUCAUACACCUCUACUUCAGCUGCUGUUGAUGAUGAUUUCUGGUAACACAUUUGAAAUGUACAGUUCUUUCUGAUUUAGCUAUCAACAAUAGUAGUUUUAUAUUGGCCUUUCCAUGUAUAAAAAACCACAAAAAAAAAGAAAAAAGGAAGAAAUCAAAAGGAGAUGGGUGAUCUGCAUUGGACUACCCUUUAAUGCUAUAAUAUAUGUAUUAUCUGUAAAAUACAUAAGUAGAACUUUCGAUAUGUCUGUCCGGUUGUUCUAUUUUUAUUCAACAUAUUGAAUGGCAUAAUUGCUCUGUUGAGACAAAUGGGAAUCUUGAAUCUUUACUUGGUCCUACUUUGGGUUUCAAAGCAAUUCCGAGGAAGAUUGACUGAGAGUUGAUCAUUAAAGAUUUCAGGAGGUUUAUGAGAGAAGCUUCGACAACAAGACGUUUUUCCUUGAAACUGCUCAGUGGACACCCUGGGAUUCUUACCAAUAUGGGCAGUUGUACUGCUUAAUGCUUUGACAUGCCCUAUCUAAAGGCAUUUUAAACCACUUGUUAAAGGUCAUUCGAUGCCAACCUCUCUUUAUUUACUUGUGCUGUAUUCCCAGAUGCCCCUUUUUGCCAAACGUGAGGUUAUAAGGGAGACUUUGUGGGGUUUUACCCGGCAUGGAUCGAUGUUUUAAUUUUUUAUUUAUUUAAAUAUGAUACAUUCUCUCCAACAAGUUUGGUUUCUACUAUUUUAGAUUCUGUUGUAAGCUCGAAUCUUUAUUGUUAAUUUUAAAUCUAAUGACUUAAGUUAAUUUUAAA